rnacentral:rRNA from 1 species
AGUGAACGCUGGCGGUAGGCCUAACACAUGCAAGUCGAACGGCAGCACAGUAAGAGCUUGCUCUUACGGGUGGCGAGUGGCGGACGGGUGAGGAAUACAUCGGAAUCUACUUUUUCGUGGGGGAUAACGUAGGGAAACUUACGCUAAUACCGCAUACGACCUACGGGUGAAAGCAGGGGGUCUUCGGACCUUGCGCGAUUGAAUGAGCCGAUGUCGGAUUAGCUAGUUGGCGGGGUAAAGGCCCACCAAGGCGACGAUCCGUAGCUGGUCUGAGAGGAUGAUCAGCCACACUGGAACUGAGACACGGUCCAGACUCCUACGGGAGGCAGCAGUGGGGAAUAUUGGACAAUGGGCGCAAGCCUGAUCCAGCCAUACCGCGUGGGUGAAGAAGGCCUUCGGGUCGUAAAGCCCUUUUGUUGGGAAAGAAAAGCAGCAGGUUAAUACCCCGCUGUUCUGACGGUACCCAAAGAAUAAGCACCGGCUAACUUCGUG